GAUGAACGCUGGCGGCGUGCCUAAUACAUGCAAGUCGAGCGAAUGGAUUAAGAGCUUGCUCUUAUGAAGUUAGCGGCGGACGGGUGAGUAACACGUGGGUAACCUGCCCAUAAGACUGGGAUAACUCCGGGAAACCGGGGCUAACACCGGAUAACAUUUUGAACCGCAUGGUUCGAAAUUGAAAGGCGGCUUCGGCUGUCACUUAUGGAUGGACCCGCGUCGCAUUAGCUAGUUGGUGAGGUAACGGCUCACCAAGGCAACGAUGCGUAGCUGACCUGAGAGGGUGAUCGGCCACACUGGGACUGAGACACGGCCCAGACUCCUACGGGAGGCAGCAGUAGGGAAUCUUCCGCAAUGGACGAAAGUCUGACGGAGCAACGCCGCGUGAGUGAUGAAGGCUCUCGGGUCGUAAAACUCUGUUGUUAGGGAAGAACAAGUGCUAGUUGAAUAAGCUGGCACCUUGACGGUACCUAACCAGAAAGCCACGGCUAACUACGUGCCAGCAGCCGCCGUAA
rnacentral:rRNA from 1 species